UCCCUGGUGGUCUAGAGGCUAAGGAUCCUGCACCCUCACUAUGCACCACGGCCCGGGUUUGAUUCCCGGGCAGGGAA